CGAAUGCUGACAUAAGUAACGAUAAAGCGGGUGAAAAGCCCGCUCGCCGGAAGACCAAGGGUUCCUGUCCAACGUUAAUCGGGGCAGGGUGAGUCGACCCCUAAGGCGAGGCCGAAAGGCGUAGUCGAUGGGAAACAGGUUAAUAUUCCUGUACUUGGUGUUACUGCGAAGGGGGGACGGAGAAGGCUAUGUUGGCCGGGCGACGGUUGUCCCGGUUUAAGCGUGUAGGCUGGUUUUCCAGGCAAAUCCGGAAAAUCAAGGCUGAGGCGUGAUGACGAGGCACUACGGUGCUGAAGCAACAAAUGCCCUGCUUCCAGGAAAAGCCUCUAAGCAUCAGGUAACAUCAAAUCGUACCCCAAACCGACACAGGUGGUCAGGUAGAGAAUACCAAGGCGCUUGAGAGAACUCGGGUGAAGGAACUAGGCAAAAUGGUGCCGUAACUUCGGGAGAAGGC
rnacentral:rRNA from 3 species